GUUGUUCGGAAGCGCGUAGGCAUCACCGGUCCGGUCCCAAAAGAGGCUGGUUAUCCUCUGCGGAGAUUAUGUGAUCGUGUACUUUCCAGGUGUUAGAGUAAUGUCGUCACGGUAGACCAUCGCAAAUUUCCGUCAUUAGCCGGGGUGUUAUUAGUUUUUGAAACGUUGAUGGUGCGUUUUUGAGGUGGAAUGGUAUUGCUCUGAAUUGGUGGCAGGCGCCGCCGCCGUCUGGAGUGGUGAAAUCCGCCAGUGCGCGUUCCAGUUAAAUUCGAAGAGGAGUAUUGAUUAAUAAAAUAAAAUUAACAUAUAAUUGAUUAACGUAUACGUUAAUCAAUGGUUGGAUACAGCGAGGUCGAAUUCGCUAAGAAAAUACCUUUUACCUCAAAAGUAAUCGAUUUGCUUCUAGAUAUUAUACCAAUUCCUCUCUACACAAACUAAGUGACUUCCUAAUCUUUGGAUGUAUGAUUUUACAACAGCCGAUAGAAAGGGGUGGAAGUGAGCUUUUUCUUGUAGAUGAACGAUCUUGAAGAUAAACGAAUAAUGGUCUAAAUUACAUACGACAACAAUACUUUUGAGAAUAAGAUACUAAUGAGAAUAUUUAAAG